UAGCGCCCCUGUCUCCACCCACUCGGUCGCCACAUGGCGGCCGAGCGAGGGCCUCGGGGUGACAU
rnacentral:pre_miRNA from 1 species